rnacentral:rRNA from 1 species
ACGGAAGGCAGCAGUGGGGAAUAUUGCACAAUGGGGGAAACCCUGAUGCAGCAACGCCGCGUGAAGGAUGACGGUUUUCGGAUUGUAAACUUCUUUUCUUAGUGACGAAGACAGUGACGGUAGCUAAGGAAUAAGCAUCGGCUAACUACGUGCCAGCAGCCGCGGUAAUACGUAGGAUGCAAGCGUUAUCCGGAUUUACUGGGUGUAAAGGGAGCGCAGGCGGGACUGCAAGUUGGAUGUGAAAUACCGUGGCUUAACCACGGAACUGCAUCCAAAACUGUAGUUCUUGAGUGAAGUAGAGGCAAGCGGAAUUCCGAGUGUAGCGGUGAAAUGCGUAGAUAUUCGGAGGAACACCAGUGGCGAAGGCGGCUUGCUGGGCUUUAACUGACGCUGAGGCUCGAAAGUGUGGGGAGCAAACAGGAUUAGAUACCCUGGUA